CAAUAGCGUAUAUUAAAGUUGUUGCGGUUAAAAAGCUCGUAGUUGGAUUUCUGCUGAGAACGACCGGUCCGCCCUCUGGGUGUGUAUCUGGCUCUUUCUUGGCAUCUUCUUGGUGAACGUUGCUGCACUUGACUGUGUGGAGCGCUACCCAGGACUUUUACUUUGAGGAAAUUAGAGUGUUUCAAGCAGGCAUACGCCUUGAAUACAUUAGCAUGGAAUAAUAAGAUAGGACCUCGGUUCUAUUUUGUUGGUUUCUAGAGCUGAGGUAAUGAUUAAUAGGGAUAGUUGGGGGCAUUCGUAUUUAACUGUCAGAGGUGAAGUUCUUGGAUUUGUUAAAGACGGACUACUGCGAAAGCAUUUGCCAAGGAUGUUUNCAUUGA
rnacentral:rRNA from 1 species